rfam:Xenopus tropicalis strain Nigerian Chr08_contig_436, whole genome shotgun sequence.
CUCGCCCUUGAUUGUCCAAACGCAAUUCUUGUUCCAAUAGAAAUAUCAAGCCAAGAAUUGUGCCUGGACAUCUGUGGCUGG